rnacentral:rRNA from 1 species
AUGCGCGUCCCGCUGCACCCCUUCUUCUGCGAGGCGCUGGCCCACUUCGGCGUCGCGCCGACGCAGCUCGCGCCCAACGCGUGGCGCAUCAUGGCGGGCUUCCUCGUGCUCUGCCGCUCCGCCGGCGUGCCGCCGUCGCUCGCGGUGUUCCGGCGUUUCUUCGUGCUGUCCGUCCUCAACCACAGGCACACCAAAAGAUGGUACUACUUCCAAACCAGGUUCAGGGACAGCUCCGGCUUGCGCUUCGCUGGGUUGCCAGAUUCCAUCAACGGCUGGAAGCGCGGGUUCUUCUUCCUCUCUUCGCCGACCCCGUGGCCCUGUCCCGUGGAGUGGGGCGAGCCGUCCAAGAGCUCCUUCGUGGACCCGGUGCUUACAAACGAGGAGAAGAAAUCCGUGGCGAAGCUGCUACGUGCUUCCGGCGGCGCCGCCGUUGAUAUCAGGACAUGUUUGUCCGACAGCAACAUUGCCGCUACCGUGGUAACUGCCGCAUCUCCGGCGCCGCCCUCUGCUCGUACUAGUGCUAGUUCCAAAGGGAUGGAUUCCGCCGUCUACGACAUGAUGAAAACCAUGCUGGCGGAGAAGAUGGCCCGGCAAGCGUCGGCAUCGGCAAAGAAGGUGAAAGCAGAGCCAGGGUCGUCGCCGUUGUGCGGGAAGAAAGGGAACCUGGACGAGGCCAACGAGGAGGAGGGCCGUCCCCCUUCUUCGGACGCUCCACCUGCCGCCCGUGGCCACUCGGUGCCCACCAGCGUGUGUUCGCCACUGCCGGGAGUCUCUCGGCAGCCACAAGACUUCGCCGACGGAGACGGCACAGACUGGGAGGUUGCACGGGAGCUGCUGCAGGGUGCCGUCGCGCCGCCGCAGCAGCGCGUGUUUGCGGCGACCGAGCCAUCAGAUGUCGUCGCGUCGAGCUAUGUCGCGGCGAACUACAUGUCAUUCUCCUUGGACUACGCUCUGGAGCUGGAGGAGAAGCUGUUGGCGCGGGACGCGGAGAUUGCCGCGCUGCGGAAGCAGCUGGAGGAGACGAAGGGCGAGCUCGCCACGGCGAAGGUGCCGCGGAGGUAG